rnacentral:rRNA from 1 species
GACGAACGCUGGCGGCGUGCUUAACACAUGCAAGUCGAACGGAAAGGCCCUGCUUUUGUGGGGUGCUCGAGUGGCGAACGGGUGAGUAACACGUGAGUAACCUGCCCUUGACUUUGGGAUAACUUCGGGAAACUGGGGCUAAUACCGGAUAGGAGCUCCUGCUGCAUGGUGGGGGUUGGAAAGUUUCGGCGGUCGGGGAUGGACUCGCGGCUUAUCAGCUUGUUGGUGGGGGAGUGGCUUACCAAGGCUUUGACGGAUAGCCGGCAUGAGAGGGUGACCGGGCACAAUGGGACUGAGAGACGGCCCAGACUCCUACGGGAGGCAGCAGUGGGGAAUAUUGCACAAUGGGCGGAAGCCUGAUGCAGCAACGCCGCGUGCGGGAUGACGGCCUUCGGGUUGUAAACCGCUUUCGCCUGUGACGAAGCGUGAGUGACGGUAAUGGGUAAAGAAGCACCGGCUAACUACGUG